UACGUAGGUGGCAAGCGUUGUCCGGAUUUACUGGGCGUAAAGAGCGCGCAGGCGGUCGUCCAAGUCGCGUGUGAAAGCCCCCGGCUCAACUGGGGAGGGUCACGCGAUACUGGUCGACUCGAAGGCAGGAGAGGGUAGUGGAAUUCCGGGUGUAGCGGUGGAAUGCGUAGAGAUCCGGAAGAACACCGGUGGCGAAGGCGGUUAGCUGGGCGAGUUGCUGGACACUGAGCGCGACAGCGUGGGAGCAACAGG
rnacentral:rRNA from 1 species